CCCUUAGAUGUUCUGGGCCGCACGCGCGCUACACUGAUGCGUGGAAUAAGUAGUAUAGUCCUUUGCUGAGAAGCAUGGGUAAUCUUGGCAAGACGCAUCGUGCUAGGGAUAGAUGAUUGUAAUUAUUGAUCUUGAACGAGGAAUUCCUAGUAAACGCAAGUCAUCAGCUUGCAUUGAUUACGUCCCUGCCCUUUGUACACACCGCCCGUCGCACAGGCCGAUUGAAUGAUUCGGUGAGGUAUUUGGAUAUGUAUGUAUGUGGGUUGAUUUCCGCGUGUGUGUAGAAGAGUACCAAACCUGGUUAUUUAGAGACUUGUAAAGUCGUAACA
rnacentral:rRNA from 1 species